ensembl:lncRNA
GUUUUAUAAGACAAUUAGAAAUUAUUCGGGUCCUUUCAACAAGAAACGUGUAGUUUCUUUCUUAUAAACAUCCACUAAUUUACUCAAACAGUGUUUAAUUUUUCAUGAUUUUUUUCAUGUAUUUUGGGAAGAUAAGCUGUUUUGAUUUUUUAGGAACCUUUCCUCAAUAUUCUGUAAAAAAAAUCUUUUACAUAUUCAAGCAUUUAAGAGUUAAUCAGAUGAAAGUAAGAGACUUUGAGGGAAGUCAGUUGCUGACUGAAUUAUGUACGGCUACCUCUGGCAGAGACAGUUAGCUUAGCUGUAAUGAGUGGAGAUGGAGCUACCUAAAAAAAUCAGUUGGUAAGUUGAUUAAUUGACAGGGAAUAUUAAAUUUACUAUUUCCUGCAAAAAAAAGAGGACAGUUUUACACACAUGUCUUAUGUUUUGGCCAAGCAGCAACUUCAUUUCUAAAAAAAAUGAAGCUAAUGGGAUGAAAGUUGAAUGUUUACUCGAGGCUCCAAAAGUGAGUCAACCCCCACAGAAUGAACAUAUUUACUGUUAUCCUCUGGGCUUUUUGACCUGGGGUUUUUAGUUUCCAGAAAUUGAAGUCUUGUUUAUUUUUAAGUAUCUUUUGUUUACUUCUUAGUUUUUUAUUUUUUAUUGUUUUUAUUUUUUUUUACAUUUAGCUUUUGAUUCUUGGUAAUUUCUUAGUAUGGCAAACCUUUACUCCUUGUUAUCAUUUAUAUUUUCCCCCUCUGUCUCAUCUCCCUUGUGUCUUCCCCUUUGUCCAGUCACGGCCUGUGUGUCCUUGUUUCAGUGUGGUUGUUAUUCACUUCUUAUUUUGCCUCCUGUUUCUUUAUCACAAUUCCUUUAACUGCAUGACUGUCCUCACCUGUGUCCCGUUACCCUCCUGUGUCCUAUAUCCUGAUUACCUUGUGUGUGUGUGUAAAUAGGCCUGUUCUUCACCACAGUUUGUGUUUCAGUGUCUCUUUGAGGUUUAUUCUUGGCAUUGACUGAAUUUUUCGGGUUCUUGUCACUUGUUCUGUUUAUUUCAGUCUGUCUCAGUGUCAUGUGUUUGGGCCCUUUUCUUCUGCAAACAUGGCAGUUAACAGUGUGGUACAAAAAUAAUAAUAUGGGGUAUUUUUAAUAAUUUUGAUAACCUCCUUAAAUGAAAAUCUUGCAUUUGUACGUCUGUGAUGGGUGACCUUUUUGUUUAGUGCUUUUCUCUUGGUUGUCCUGAAAGACAACCAGUGUCUUGUAGCAAGUUGCACCUCAACCAGAUGCUUUUGGCAGCCAUCAGUAAAGUUAAUUCUGGCUGGAUAUUUGGCAGCUCUUACAUUGGGCUUGACUAUUUUCUUAAGUCUUGCUAAGUCCAAUGAGUGCUGUAAAACAAACCCCGUUGUAUGGCUGCAAAAA